GGCCCCUUGGUUUGGGAAUAUAUAAGGGGUCGGACCUGCCCGGUGACUAAGUGUUAAACGGCUGCGGUACCCUAACCGUGCAAAGGUAGCAUAAUCAUUUGCCUUUUAAUUGUAGGCUUGUAUGAAUGGUUUGACGAAAGCUGAGCUGUCUCUUUCUUGAUAUUUAAAAAUUAACUUUUAGGUGAAGAGGCCUAAUUAAAACUAAGGGACGAGAAGACCCUGUUGAGCUUGAAUGAAGUGUUAAGUAUUUAAAAGUUGGUGAUUAAUGGAUAAAUAUUAAUCGCUAAAUGUUGGUUUGUAUUUAUAGAAUGGUUUUUAGCACAGAUUUUUAGUUGGGGCGACUGAGGAACAAACAAAGCUUCCUUGAUAUUUUAGUAUAAAGAUGUUUAGUAGAUAAAUGCCAUCAGGUUAUUUGAUCCAAUAGAUAUUGAUAAAGGGAAAAGUUACCACAGGGAUAACAGCGUAAUCUUUCUGGAGAGAUCUUAUCGAAAGAAGGGUUUGCGACCUCGAUGUUGGACUAAGAUAUCCUAAGGGUGUAGAAGCUCUUGAUGGUUGGUCUGUUCGACCAUUAAAAUCUU
rnacentral:rRNA from 1 species